GUGAGGAAUAUUGGUCAAUGGGCGAGAGCCUGAACCAGCCAAGUCGCGUGAAGGAAGAAGGAUCUAUGGUUCGUAAACUUCUUUUGCAGGGGAAUAAAGUGCGGGACGUGUCCUGUUUUGUAUGUACCCUGAGAAUAAGGAUCGGCUAACUCCGUGCCAGCAGCCGCGGUAAUACGGAGGAUCCGAGCGUUAUCCGGAUUUAUUGGGUUUAAAGGGUGCGUAGGUGGUUUGAUAAGUCAGCGGUGAAAGUUUGCAGCUUAACUGUAAGAAUGCCGUUGAAGCUGUCGGACUUGAGUGUAAAUGAGGUAGGCGGAAUGCGUGGUGUAGCGGUGAAAUGCAUAGAUAUCACGCAGAACUCCGAUUGCGAAGGCAGCUUACUAAGCUACAACUGACACUGAAGCACGAAAGCGUGGGGAUCAAACAGGAUUAGAAACCCCUGUAGUCC
rnacentral:rRNA from 1 species